UACGUAGGCAGCAAGCGUUGUUCGGAGUUACUGGGCGUAAAGGGUGCGUAGGCGGUCCUAUAAGUAUGGUGUGAAAUCUCCCGGCUUAACUGGGAGGGUGCGCUAUAGACUGUGGGACUAGAGUGUGGGAGAGGAAAGUGGAAUUCCUGGUGUAGCGGUGAAAUGCGUAGAUAUCAGGAGGAACACCGGUGGUGUAAACGGCCUUUC
rnacentral:rRNA from 1 species